rnacentral:pre_miRNA from 1 species
CAUGCACCGGUGGGGUCCCUUGGCCUGGCCUGUGCCCUCUCGCAAUCUGGGACCCCCUUGGGGGAUGUCGGAGAGCCGGUUUUGGCUUGAUCCCGCAGGCCAGGCCAAGGGACUCCACUGGUGCAUG